GCUCUUGUGGCGGAAUUGGUAGACGCGCUAGUCUUAGAAACUAGUACCUUUAAAGUGUGUGGGUUCAAUUCCCACUGAGAGCA
rnacentral:tRNA from 1 species